UACGUAGGGUGCGAGCGUUGUCCGGAAUUAUUGGGCGUAAAGGGCGCGUAGGCGGCCUGGCAAGUGGAAGGUGAAAUCCCUCGGCUUAACCGAGGAACUGCCCUCCAAACUGCUUGGCUUGAGUCCGGGAGAGGUGAGUGGAAUUCCCAGUGUAGCGGUGAAAUGCGUAGAUAUUGGGAGGAACACCAGUGGCGAAGGCGGCUCACUGGACCGGAACUGACGCUGAGACGCGAAAGCGUGGGGAGCGAACAGG
rnacentral:rRNA from 1 species